rnacentral:rRNA from 1 species
CCCUUAGAUGUCCGGGGCUGCACGCGCGCUACACUGAAGGAAUCAGCGUGCUAAAACCAUUGUCGAAAGGCAUUGGUAAACCCAUUAAAAUCCUACGUGAUUGGGAUCGGGAAUUGCAAUUAUUUCCCUUGAACGAGGAAUUCCCAGUAAGUGUGGGUCAUAAGCUCGCGUUGAUUACGUCCCUGCCCUUUGUACACACCGCCCGUCGCUGCCCGGGACUGAGCCGUUUCGAGAAAAGCGGGGUCUGCUGCUGUCGGGGCUUUCGGGCCUUGGCUUCGGUGGAAACCGCUUUAAUCGCAGUGGCUUGAACCGGGCAAAAGUCGUAACA